GCAUAUCAAUAAGCGGAGGAAAAGAAACCAACAGGGAUUGCCCCAGUAACGGCGAGUGAAGCGGCAACAGCUCAAAUUUGAAAUCUGGCCCCAGGCCCGAGUUGUAAUUUGCAGAGGAUGCUUUUGGCGCGGUGCCUUCCGAGUUCCCUGGAACGGGACGCCAUAGAGGGUGAGAGCCCCGUACGGUUGGACACCAAGCCUUUGUAAAGCUCCUUCGACGAGUCGAGUAGUUUGGGAAUGCUGCUCUAAAUGGGAGGUACAUUUCUUCUAAAGCUAAAUAUUGGCCAGAGACCGAUAGCGCACAAGUAGAGUGAUCGAAAGAUGAAAAGCACUUUGAAAAGAGGGUUAAACAGCACGUGAAAUUGUUAAAAGGGAAGCGCUUGUGACCAGACUUGCGUCCGGUGAAUCACCCAGCUCUCGCGGCUGGGGCACUUCGCCGGCACAGGCCAGCAUCAGCUUGCCGUCGGGGACAAAAGCUUCAGGAACGUGGCUCCUCUCGGGGAGUGUUAUAGCCUGUUGCACAAUACCCUUCGGCGGGCUGAGGUACGCGCUCCGCAAGGAUGCUGGCGUAAUGGUCAUCAGCGACCCGUCUUGAAACACGGACCAAGGAGUCAACCUUAUGUGCGAGUGUUUGGGUGUCAAACCCCUACGCGUAAUGAAAGUGAACGCAGGUGAGAGCUUCGGCGCAUCAUCGACCGAUCCUGAUGUUCUCGGAUGGAUUUGAGUAAGAGCAUAUAGGGUUGGACCCGAAAGAAGGUGAACUAUGCGUGUGUAGGGUGAAGCCAGAGGAAACUCUGGUGGAGGCUCGCAGCGGUUCUGACGUGCAAAUCGAUCGUCAAACAUGCGCAUGGGGGGCGAAAGACUAAUCGAACCUUCUAGUAGCUGGUUUCCGCGA
rnacentral:rRNA from 1 species